rnacentral:rRNA from 1 species
UACGUAGGGCGCAAGCGUUAUCCGGAAUUAUUGGGCGUAAAGAGCUCGUAGGCGGUUCGUCGCGUCGGCUGUGAAAUCCCGAGGCUCAACCUCGGGUCUGCAGUCGAUACGGGCGGACUGGAGUUCGGGCAGGGGAGACUGGAAUUCCUGGUGUAGCGGUGAAAUGCGCAGAUAUCAGGAGGAACACCGGUGGCGAAGGCGGGUCUCUGGGCCGAUACUGACGCUGGAGGAGCGAAAGCGUGGGGAGCGAACAGG